CAAAUUCUUCUCCAAUGGGAAAUGACAGUACCUGUAUCACAGAAAUGAUUGUCUCGUACGUAGAUGCAAGUUACACAGACAAAAUACUCUUACCCUUGAGUUUGGAAACAGAGUGUAGAGCACUUCGGAAAGCUGGGCCCUGUAAUGCCUGCUCCAACUACAAUUAAGAAGCAGCUCGAUGUUAUGAAGGAUUAUUACUGCAUUUGGAAAUGGUGAAAGCAAAGAGGUUCUUC
rnacentral:lncRNA from 1 species